rnacentral:sRNA from 1 species
AUAGGAUUGACAUGUC